GUGUCAGCAGCCGCGGUAAUACGUAGGGGGCAAGCGUUGUCCGGAUUUAUUGGGCGUAAAGCGCGUGUAGGCGGCCACGCAGGUCCGCUGUGAAAACUCGAGGCUCAACCUCGAGCUGUCGGUGGAAACCGCGUGGCUAGAGUCCGGAAGAGGGGACUGGAAUUCCCGGUGUAGCGGUGGAAUGCGCAGAUAUCGGGAGGAACACCCGUGGCGAAGGCGGGUCCCUGGGACGGUACUGACGCUGAGACGCGAAAGCGUGGGGAGCGAACAGGAUUAGAUACCCUGGUAGUCC
rnacentral:rRNA from 1 species